GGGGCGGGCGGAGCAGCGCUCUGUUGCGGCUGCGUUUCUCCCGCCAUGUCGGUUGUUUCUAAAGUCUCCAUGCCUGGAGUCAGGGUGGCCGAGGAGAGCGGCUUCCUCGGGCGGGGGGAGGCGGCCGGGAUCGGGCUUUUGAGCCGCCGGGUUCCCCCCACCCCGAAAUGGCUCCCUCUUCCUCCGUGCUAGGCAAAACACACCCUGAUUGUUCCCUCCUCACCUUCUGGUGAGGGGCAGGAGGGGGGCGGCGCUGGGUGGCGAGGAGCGGCGGCCGGAGGGCCGUGAGGUGGGGGGACAGCGCCUGAGGGCUCCCCGCAGCCCGGCCGCGCAGUCACGGGGUGCGUUUGUGGGGAAAGCGGCAUCGCGGCGAAGAGGCCGGCCGGACCCGGGGGCGGGCGGCGAUGCUCGGCCGGCCGGCCGGCUCUGAGGCAGCAGUCCCCUGCACCACGCACGUUUGUCACGGCGCCUUAAAGGUGGAUGAUUCCUGCAGGGGGAUGAAAGCGAGAGUAUUUGCAGGCGAUCGGCAGGGUGGUCCUCGGGGCGCCACUGAAAAUGCGGUGCUGUGAUAUGCUGCAGUUCAGAGUAUAGCGAUGUCUAAGAAAAAAUCUGUCACGACUGAUUUAAAGACCGGUGGUAGCCAUGCUCUGCCUGGGAUUAUUUGUGUUCUGAACAUGAGGCGUCACAGUGAGAGGUAUUGAAAGUGGCAAAAUUCUUGUAACCUGCUGCUGAAAGGAAGUGGCGGAAACGUUCUGGGGCCUCAGAGGAACCUGGGAUUCUCAGCCCUGUCUCAGAGGGUCAAAAAUCUAAAGAACUAAGGGAAACACUUCUUACUUUUGUAAUAGAAACAUAUAGUUUCAUCCAGUGGCCUUUGAACUUGUGAAAAAUUUCCCAUUUAGUUCAGUUAGCAUUACCUCGGCCUUCUAAUAAAAAACUAGUGUCGAUUUCAGAAAAUUAGUAUUUCCUUUCUUAGAGGAAAUAUGUAAAUGACUGUUAAUUCUUUACAUUAGUAUAAAGUAAGAAAACUAUCAUAUGGGUUCACUUAUGGUGGUCCUGUGAAUUUAGUAACUGUUCUGGUAACAAGAAGAAUGUUGUCAUAAUAAAAUCCCAACCAAAAUACCUGAAACAGAAAUAUACUUUUCUUUCUAUGAUUUUCUUAGUCAUUUGGUCCACUGCAUGCUAUAAAACUUGAUAGUCCUACUUUUAGGUCUUGAAUGUUCUCCUUGACUGAGCGAUAAGAUUCUUUCCUGCAGUUUUUAAGGCUAGUAGUCAGGCCCAGGACGUGGGAGUCCUGGGCUUAGCUAUGUUCUCUGUUGUGUUAAAGACCUGCAGUGUGACCACAGACAUGUAGUUUUACUACUAACAUUGAACAGGUGACAUUUAUUAGACACUUGCCAUUGACUGUUAUUGCAAUGGGAGCUCCUUCUGCACUUCAGUUUUCUCCUCUGUAAAGCGGGGAUGAUAGCGUUUGCCUCGGACGUUACGUGUUGGCAAAUGUUUGAAAAAUGUGGAGAUCAGUAAUGGUAGGGGGCUUAGAAAUCUUUGAUAGAAAUUACAUGCAUACUUUCAGGGUAGAGUUUGUCCUUUCUAUUACAGAAGUAAAGAAAUCUGGAGAGAUUAAACAGGUGGCAGUUGCUGCUAACAUCCUGACAGAGUACUGUGGUCACAUUUAUUUUCUAAGUCACGUGGAAGACUUCUGCACUACCAUGAAAUAGUGCGUGUUGUAUAUUUCUGUGAGACAAUCCACAGAGAACAUUUUUUCCACUUCUGAGAGAAAGAAGGAAGGAGAGAAAAGUGAAAACCAUAAAGGACUGCUGCCUCAGAGCUGCUGUUGCCAUAGAGCUGCUAACAAGGAAAAAAACUGCAGCAUGGAUUUCUUCUGCUGUUGAAGAUGCCAAGGGACGAGCUGUGCAGGGCGGCAGCGGGGAGCUGAGCGCUGCGAGAGGUAUUUUUAUUUGAGGGUGCGAAGCGAUGAGCCAAGCGGGAUCUGUAUCCACUGGAGGUGAGUCAGGCAAGGCGCCACAUGCAGGCUCAUAAUGGUGAUGCCACAUGCCAGUGAGAGGUGUGAGAAGGUGAGGCAGUGGUCAGCAUCUAAGAUCAGAGAAUCCUGUGGCAUCGUUGUUAAGCUCUUUAGUUUUGCAGGCACUGCCUUGGUAAUCAGAUGAGCAUUUGAGUGAUGAACAGGUGCAGUGUGUGAUGCUGGUAUCUGUGUGGAACAGAUGAUGAAGAAGCACUUGGCAAUGGCAGGAAUACCCUGGUUAGCUGACAUGUUUUUUGUUGAGAAAGGAUUCAGAACCUGAGCCAUCUGAAAGCCCCACAGUGUAUAACUUUGACUUCAACUGGAAAGAGGUUUUUAAAAAUGGAAAUAAAUCUCAUUCAAUUAAGUCCCAUUCUAUGAACUCCCCAUUAGAGUGUGGGUCUUCAGAGAUGAUGUAUUUGGCAGUAGAAUGCAUCAGCACAAGACUUACACUCCGUUUUGUUUGUGGGUUUGUUGUUGUUUUUUUUUUUAAGAAAAAAAGUCAAUGUUCCUUGCAGAGAUCCAAGCACAGCACAUAUUCCAAAUGUUGACAGCUUUGGUAGUGCUUGGGUUCUCAGUUGUGACAGUUGAGAUAUAAAGUGCUGUUCCCCUGCAUGCUUUGGUACAGCCAAACGCAUUAGCAUAUCUGCCAGUCCUGUUUGGUAGCCUUAGGUAUUGCAAUGGUAGGGAUUUUAAUUUUUUUUUUCCCCCAAAAAGUAAAAAUAUAUUGGGGAUCUCUCCACUCACUGGUUUUUCUAUCAUAAAUAAAACUCUAAAAAAAAGCUAACAUUGUAUGAUUUACAAACUCACUUGCAUUGCUUAAACUGUAACUGCCAAAUACCUGUAGCCAUUUCUUAGGUGUAUUUAAGCAGUUAGGUAUGUGUUGUAAAUGUUUAACAAGAGAGGCAACUAAAUCUUUGGGUUUUUUUGCUCUGAUAUUCUGAGGGAGUACUCUGAAGUACUUGACUUCUGUCUUGCUUUCAAUGGCAUGUUUUCCUGGCAGUUCAGCAGCUUCUCUUGGGCAGGGCAGCUAGCCACAAGUCACUCCUAACUAUGUACCACACAAAAACCCUUAGUCAAAUUAUUACUAUGUAUUUUGGAGAUAGAUAACCUAAUGCUGUCAAUUAAUGGCUGUGCAAGAGACGAGCAAUAGUGUUUAGAUUUAUGUGAAGAAUCAAUUCAAAAUGGUAUCGAUUAGUCUUAACACUGAUUUUAAAUACUCAAAUCAUUCUAGCUCUUAAAAGGUGUGUUGUAUUUCAAGCUGUUUCCUGAUAACCAGAGGUACCCCUCUCACACAAAGCAGCCUGCCGUCAGAAGGGCAGCUGUGUUGCCUUACUUUUUUCUCUCUCUCUUUUUUUUUUUUUUUUUUUUAAAUAAAACUGUCUCUCCACCAUU